GCCGAUGUAUCCGAAAUCAUAAUCAUAUAUGAGAAACCCUAAUUCAUAAAAAAAUUAAAGAAUUUUAACCAAAAGAAAGGAUCUUUAUUGAUUCAGCUAAAUCCACCAAUCACAAUCGGUUAACAGUCCCAAAUCAGAGCAAUCAAUUUCCAAUGAAAUGCUUUUAGUAAUCAACAAAGCGAUAUACGGACUUUGAGAGAAGAGGAAUAUAACCGAGGAAAGGCAAAGAUGUAGAGAGAGAGCUAAAAAGAAAACCCU
rnacentral:misc_RNA from 1 species